GAAUGCUGACAUAAGUAACGAUAAAGCGGGUGAAAAGCCCGCUCGCCGGAAGACCAAGGGUUCCUGUCCAACGUUAAUCGGGGCAGGGUGAGUCGACCCCUAAGGCGAGGCCGAAAGGCGUAGUCGAUGGGAAACAGGUUAAUAUUCCUGUACUUGGUGUUACUGCGAAGGGGGGACGGAGAAGGCUAUGUUGGCCGGGCGACGGUUGUCCCGGUUUAAGCGUGUAGGCUGGUUUUCCAGGCAAAUCCGGAAAACCAAGGCUGAGGCGUGAUGACGAGGCACUACGGUGCUGAAGCGACAAAUGCCCUGCUUCCAGGAAAAGCCUCUAAGCAUCAGGUAACAUCAAAUCGUACCCCAAACCGACACAGGUGGUCAGGUAGAGAAUACCAAGGCGCUUGAGAGAACUCGGGUGAAGGAACUAGGCAAAAUGGUGCCGUAACUUCGGGAGAAGGCACGCUGAUAUGUAGGUGAAGCGACUUGCUCGUGGAGCUGAAAUCAGUCGAAGAUACCAGCUGGCUGCAACUGUUUAUUAAAAACACAGCACUGUGCAAACACGAAAGUGGACGUAUACGGUGUGACGCCUGCCCGGUGCCGG
rnacentral:rRNA from 1 species